UGGGGUCGAGUUGCAGACCCCAAUCCGAACUGAGACCGGCUUUUUGGGAUUCGCUCCACCUUACGGUAUCGCAGCCCUCUGUACCGGCCAUUGUAGCAUGCGUGAAGCCCAAGACAUAAGGGGCAUGAUGAUUUGACGUCAUCCCCACCUUCCUCCGAGUUGACCCCGGCAGUCUCCCAUGAGUCCCCGGCAUAACCCGCUGGCAACAUAGGACGAGGGUUGCGCUCGUUGCGGGACUUAACCCAACAUCUCACGACACGAGCUGACGACAACCAUGCACCACCUGUGUACGAGUGUCCAAAGAGAACCCCGUCUCGGGGGCUUUCUCGUACAUGUCAAGCCUUGGUAAGGUUCUUCGCGUUGCAUCGAAUUAAUCCGCAUGCUCCGCCGCUUGUGCGGGCCCCCGUCAAUUCCUUUGAGUUUUAGCCUUGCGGCCGUACUCCCCAGGCGGGGCACUUAAUGCGUUAGCUGCGGCACGGAACUCGUGGAAUGAGCCCCACACCUAGUGCCCAACGUUUACGGCAUGGACUACCAGGGUAUCUAAUCCUGUUCGCUCCCCAUGCUUUCGCUCCUCAGCGUCAGUUGCGGCCCAGAGACCUGCCUUCGCCAUCGGUGUUCCUCCUGAUAUCUGCGCAUUCCACCGCUACACCAGGAAUUCCAGUCUCCCCUACCGCACUCUAGUCUGCCCGUACCCGAUGCAAGCCCGAGGUUGAGCCUCGGGAUUUCACACCAGACGCGACAGACCGCCUACGAGCUCUUUACGCCCAAUAAUUCCGGACAACGCUUGCGCCCUACGUAUUACCGCGGCUGCUGGCACGUAGUUAGCCGGCGCUUCUUCUGCAGGUACCGUCACUUGCGCUUCUUCCCUGCUGAAAGAGGUUUACAACCCGAAGGCCGUCAUCCCUCACGCGGCGUCGCUGCAUCAGGCUUGCGCCCAUUGUGCAAUAUUCCCCACUGCUGCCUCCCGUAGGAGUCUGGGCCGUGUCUCAGUCCCAGUGUGGCCGGUCGCCCUCUCAGGCCGGCUACCCGUCGACGCCUUGGUAGGCCAUCACCCCACCAACAAGCUGAUAGGCCGCGAGCCCAUCCCCCACCGAAAAACUUUCCAACCCACACCAUGCGAUGCGAGCUCAUAUCCGGUAUUAGACCCCGUUUCCAAGGCUUAUCCCGAAGUGGAGGGCAGGUUGCUCACGUGCUACUCACCCGUUCGCCACUGAUCCACCCAGCAAGCUGGGCUUCAC
rnacentral:rRNA from 1 species